ACAUGCAAGUCGAACGGUAACAGGAAGCAGCUUGCUGCUUUGCUGACGAGUGGCGGACGGGUGAGUAAUGUCUGGGAAACUGCCUGAUGGAGGGGGAUAACUACUGGAAACGGUGGCUAAUACCGCAUAACGUCGCAAGACCAAAGAGGGGGACCUUCGGGCCUCUUGCCAUCAGAUGUGCCCAGAUGGGAUUAGCUUGUUGGUGAGGUAACGGCUCACCAAGGCGACGAUCCCUAGCUGGUCUGAGAGGAUGACCAGCCACACUGGAACUGAGACACGGUCCAGACUCCUACGGGAGGCAGCAGUGGGGAAUAUUGCACAAUGGGCGCAAGCCUGAUGCAGCCAUGCCGCGUGUAUGAAGAAGGCCUUCGGGUUGUAAAGUACUUUCAGCGGGGAGGAAGGUGUUGUGGUUAAUAACCGCAGCAAUUGACGUUACCCGCAGAAGAAGCACCGGCUAACUCCGUGCCAGCAGCCGCGGUAAUACGGAGGGUGCAAGCGUUAAUCGGAAUUACUGGGCGUAAAGCGCACGCAGGCGGUCUGUCAAGUCGGAUGUGAAAUCCCCGGGCUCAACCUGGGAACUGCAUUCGAAACUGGCAGGCUUGAGUCUUGUAGAGGGGGGUAGAAUUCCAGGUGUAGCGGUGAAAUGCGUAGAGAUCUGGAGGAAUACCGGUGGCGAAGGCGGCCCCCUGGACAAAGACUGACGCUCAGGUGCGAAAGCGUGGGGAGCAAACAGGAUUAGAUACCCUGGUAGUCCACGCCGUAAACGAUGUCUACUUGGAGGUUGUGCCCUUGAGGCGUGGCUUCCGGAGCUAACGCGUUAAGUAGACCGCCUGGGGAGUACGGCCGCAAGGUUAAAACUCAAAUGAAUUGACGGGGGCCCGCACAAGCGGUGGAGCAUGUGGUUUAAUUCGAUGCAACGCGAAGAACCUUACCUGGUCUUGACAUCCACAGAACUUUCCAGAGAUGGAUUGGUGCCUUCGGGAACUGUGAGACAGGUGCUGCAUGGCUGUCGUCAGCUCGUGUUGUGAAAUGUUG
rnacentral:rRNA from 1 species